CAGUUGCCGCGGCUUGCUCUGAAAAAGGGGAAAUCUUGGCGCGGUUGGCUCCCCAAGUUCUCAGUAGGCGCCUCUCGAAUCUUCCCCGCAUCGAAAUCGCCGCCGUCGCCGCCGGUGACCUGCCGGAGUGCCACCGCCGAGAUCUGACCCGAAAUGGCGGACGAACCUUCAGAUGCGUGCUCGCGCACGGAUGGAGGUGGUGUCAGGGCUAGCAGGAACAAGAAAAGAAAGUCUUCUCGGGCAUGUGCAUACCCAAAUAAGAAAGAUGGGCUCGUACUAAGAAACGCAAGGGAGCGCUAUGUGAUUAGUGUCUUCGCUUUUGUUGUUCUCUUGCUCAUAUAUUUCUUCACCGAAUAUGAUGAAGAAGAAAGCGACGAGGAAGAGGAAUAUGAGCUCCUUAAGGUUACUGUGGAUUGCUGUAUAGCAGCAAAGGCAUGGGCGGAGCGACAGCUUGGCCCAGGGAAUGCAAACAUUGAAAAAAUUCUUGGUAUGCUUCGAUUCUUACCGGGUUA